GGGAAUGAACAGUAGGUUUUACGGUGGUUGGGCCUUUUGGCGGUGCCAUCCAUCCUCGUCACCAAACGAAACACGCGUACGAUGACAAGGGUGUAACCUUUCAAACACUCACACUUCCCAGAAUCAAUAUGAUAGAGAGAACCCUAGGAGAGAGGAGCUCUGUUAGAGAGAGAGACAAAGAUAAGAGAUGAGAGGGAGAACCAUCUAUGAGAAAGAUAAAGCGACACCAGAGUAGCGGCGCCGAUCGGCCAUGACUUCCGGCUUGUUACUGGGCGUUAUUGCGGUGAUCGGCCAUGACUUCCGGCCUUGCGAGUUCCCUAUCCAUAUUAGUGUGAUGCCUUGACAUCUUGAAAACGUUGCUCCAUUACAGGAACAGGUUUAGAAGGAAAAUUAGGAGUGGAUUCUUUGGUGAACUUUAUUUGGGUUAUGGUGGUGGUCUGCGAUGGUGACCACUGGCGACGGAGAUGCCUCGAAACAAGGUGACAUGUGGUGGUGUUGGAAGCUGCUAAAGGGACUACGAAACAAUUUGGAGACGGGUCAAAACUGAGUUAAACGUGGUCAACUCAGUCAUCAAAAGUCUUGAGUUGGUUAAUAAUCGUUCAACCACAGAACGGAAGUUCCUGGAGGGUGAUGUCCAUAACAGAGUUGAAGGACAAAUUCAAAAAGACUAUCAUUAGAAAAAGCAGAUAGUGGAUAGAAGGAUGAAUACGAAGUUUUGUACAAACAGGGAUAAUUUAUGAUCAAUACAAAAUUUCCCGAACUAUAUUAAAUAAACCAUCUAUUGGAACCUUUUUGUGUUGAAAACUAACUGGUAGUUUGCAGUGCUUGCAUGGUCCAAAUUUUAGGCUUGGAAGCUUUUGUAAUUUGUACUAUUGGCAUUCUCUCAGUUUAGGAGCACCUCGCCCUUUUUAAACCAAGACCCCUAACACUUUGUAGCAAAUGAUCGCAUUCAACAAGGCUCAGCAAAGUUUGUGGUUAACCAGGUUUUCAACUUUCGACUGACCCUAUCAGACGUUCUUUCUGUUACACAAGUUGCAUGCCGCAACGCGGCGCGGGUUCUUAUGUGAUGCUAAAUGGAGUAAAUGUUGACCUGCACCAGAUUCACAUGUUUUUUAUUAUUUCAAAGAAAGAGUUCCGCGGUUAAUUUUAAAAAUAAGGUUUGACCAUAAUCUAAAAGAUAAGAAGUGUUUAUACACAUUUUACAUGCCUUUUUGUACAAGGUUAUGGUGCAUGAGGGUACAACUGAUGGUAUGCAAGAUUGCAAGGUGAAAGCCACAUUUUCUCAAAACCGUACAACAUCAGAGAGAGACAAAAGAAAAGCGAAGAGCAAAGGCGGAGCCGCCUCCGACGAUGAAUCAUUUAUUAUACCUACCCAUCUUCUAAAAACUUUAUUAAAGGCGACUAUGGUUACAUUGGCGGCAAAGUUUAUAGAAUGGUCCGGUCUGGCGUGCCGAACGCAAGUUGUUGCAACCAUGGUUUACUGAGAGCCUUGUGCCUCAGAAAAGUCUUAGUUUCAUGUAGCUCAACAACCAUUGUGUAUUGGUUUAUCAUGUUUUGAAGACUUCGAUCUAUUUGAAUUUGUUUGGUGAAAUAUGGUUGUUUCGUCUUUGUGAGGUAAUAAGGCGCAACGCGCCAGUUCUUAUA